UUUUUUUUCGAGAGCUCUAAUGUAUAAAUUCUCUUAUUUUAAAUUUUGUGUCUUUUCCUAUUCAGUAUUCAACAUUUUAAGAUCUGUUAAUGCUUUUUGGGUAAUUUUCCUGAAUCUGUUUUUCCUGUUUACUGAGUUUUCUUUUCAGUAUGUCUAAUCUCCUGCCUACCUCAUUUGUUGGAGUUUUUCUUAACAACCAGGAAACUCCCAUGUCUAGAUCUUUGAUGAGUUUUACUUUUCUGGAUCUGAAUGCUAGAUAAUUGUUGCAUGGUUACAUCAAUCAAUUUUUCUUCAUUCAUAUAGGUACAUUAAGAAAUAUACCUAUAAAAAUUUGUUAUUGGCCAGCCUGGUUUACAAAAUGAGUUCUAGGACAUCCAGGGCUACACAGAGAAACCCUGUCUCAAAAAACCCCCAAAAACAAACAAAAAAAAUUGUUAUUGGUAUCUUGUUAUUUAAUAUAACUUUUCUUAAUACUCAAGAUAUUUUUGACCACUGUCAGAACAAAGUUUUCCUUUCACAUUUUGGUGUUAUCUUGACAACAAAUUUUCUUCUCUCUUGAAAUAUUUGCAUUUCUUCGUGUAUAAUGUUAAUAUAAAUAUUCCGAGAAGACUUCUUCUCUAUGUAAAACAAUUUGUUUUUAUUUUACGUUUAUCUAUUCAUGUUGGCACGUUUUAGUCACAGGAUAAAAAUAUAGUUGUUGGUUCUCCUACCAUGUGGUUCCUGGCAAUAAACCUCAGGUCAUCAGGUUUGGCAGCAAGCAACUUUAUUCUCAGUCAGUUCUGAGAAUAAAGAGAGGCCAGAGACCUCUUUUUAUACGAAUCACUCAUUCUUUCUUAAAUAGAAUUGUUAUGUUUUGGUUAGCAAACUAUUUUUAAAGGGUAAUGUAGAGUUUAUAUGGUAAUUUCUAAAUAAACCAUGAUUACUAUGUAUGUGUUUAUGAAUAUGUGUGUAUGUAUUUCUUUUUGACAAGUGCAGAUUUUAGGAUCAUACACUGAAAUCUGGAAAUAACUCUUUUGAAGUUACUAUUUAUGGCUGUCUUAAAGUAUUUUCUUAUUAUAUUCAUAUAAUUUCUUUAGAUGUGUGUCACAGAUAAAGCAGCAAAAUUACUAUGUUGUUCUAUAACAUAUGCCCUGAAAUUGCAAUUGUCAUGUUUUAUUCUUGUUUUCUGUUUAAGGCAAUCCUUUAUCACAGGAUAUUAUGAGCUUAUACCAGGACCCAGAUGGAACCCGAAAGCUACUGAACUUCAUGCUUGACAAUCUUGCAGGUAACGCUUACUGACGAAGCAUUGAACUCUACAGAUGCUAUCAGUAGCUGAUGCACCACACACUUCUUAGACAGCUGCUUAGAGGAAUUUCUGGCUUAUGUAGUAAUUAAUGAAAUAGGCAGUAAUUAUGAAAUUUAUGAGAUUUUUUUUCCAUGUGUGAGUACUUUCUGUUUAUGAAGCGAUGUGAUGAGAGUUUUAGUUAUACUAUCCUGUAGGAAUUUUUACAAUUUACUACAACUAUGGCUACUACUACUUACUGCUACUACUACUUACUACUACUUUUGCUACUUCUGAGAUAGAGUCUUACUGGAGCCCUGGAGUGCUCUGGACAUUAUAAUGUAGACCUGGCUGGCUUCAAACUCACAAGAUAAUCACUUUCCUCUGAAUGUUGGAAUUAAAGAUACAAGAUGGAUUCAUAUAUGCCAUACAUGUAGAGGUGUCAGAGGCCAGAAGAGGGUGUUAGAUUCUCUAGAGCUGGAGUUGUAGGUGGAAAUAAUCUGUCUUAAAGUGCUAGGAACUAAACUCAGAUCUUUUGAAAGAGUAGCAAGCGCUCUUAACUAUAGAACCAUCUCUCUAGUCUCAGGAUCUUUACAUUUUGUAGUAUAAUCAUUGAGAUAAAAAUGGCUAGUAAUUCCAAGGCUUAUGAACUCAAGAUUGUCUUAAUCACUAAGAUAAAUAGUUACUUGAAUUUGGUACAGAUUUUAUGUAAAAGUUUACCUGUACUACAAUUAUUGUUUUUUUUUCUUUUUGUUUUUACUUUCAGUAUAGUGUUCAGUAAAUUAAAUGAGAUAAACAGUACUUUAUUAUAAAUUUGGCUUUCUGUAAGAUAAUUUUUCCAACUGUAAGUUAACAAAUAUUCUGUAGACCUUUAGAUAAGCUACCCUAAGGUAUGAUUCAGGUUAAGUGUUUUAAAUACUCUCUUGAUUUAGUCCAGAGGGUCUAAUUAGAACACAAUCCCAUUAUAAAUCAAGGUUUGUCUAUAGUUCAACUCAUUGUACAUAUGUGGAACAUUUGUGAGCGAUCUUUAAGAAUACCAGAGUUACAAUGGUUGUAGUCCGUAUACAAAUUUAUUUUACAUAAGAAGGCUAUUCUGUAUAUAAUAACUUAAAAAUUUUUUGAUAUUAUAACUUCUUAUUGUCUUACUUAAGCAUUGAAAAUAUGGGUAUAAGUGUGAGAUUAAUUCUAAUUUACAUUUUUUGAGUAAUGUCUUUCUAAAAAUAUACAUAUUUUGGUUGUGUGUGUUGGUUUUGUAUAUGUGGGGUCCACGAACUUGAAUGUAUGGGUAUGAAUGCCUGUGUAUGUGCACACAUGCUGAGUUAUCAUACUUUCCCCUUAUUGAUUACCUGGAGACAGAGUUAAUUAUUGAACCAGAAUUAGCUUUUUUCAGCAAUGUUGACUGGCCAGCAGCCUUCUUGGGAUAUGUCUGCAUACUAGUGUAUGCAGGUACAACCUCUUUUUAUGUGAUACUGGAAAUUUGAGCUUAGGCCCUCAUACUUGUAGAAUAUGCACUUUUUUUUUUACCCACUGAGCUAUCUUCUUUGUCUCUACACCUGGCCCCUUAAAAAAUUAAAAACCCCAUUUAUUUAAUUAUUUAUUUAACAGAUUUAUUAUAGCUUUGGCUGGCCUAGAGCACACUAUGUGGACCAAACUGGCCACAAACUCACAUAAAUAAUCCACUUGUUUCUCCUGUCUCCUAAGUGCUGGGUUGGAGUAAAGUUAUAUGAUAGUCCUAUAUGUGUAUGUUUUUAAAUUUUACUCUGAACCAUUUGUUGAUAAUUUUAUUGUUUCAUUGCUGGUUUUAAAUGCUGCAUGAGAAAUCAAGUGUGGAGCAACUGAUGUAACUCAGUAAAGAGGCUGCCUAGCAUUCACAGAGCUCUGUGUUGAUUCUAGUGCCACAUAACCUGCAUGUGGUGCCAGCACGUACUUGAAAUCUCAGCACUUUGGAGGUAGACAGGGGAUGAUCAGAAGCCUAAAGUGGUCCUCAAUUACGUUUGAAACCUAGCCUGAAAUAUAUGGAAACAGAAGGAAACAAUAUUUCCUAUUUAAAAAAUUUUCAUACAGUACAUUUGGAUCAUAUUCUUUCUUCUUACUCAACUCCUCCCAAAUCCUUCCCACCCAAAUACAUACAUGUCUUUUCUAUCAAAAACAGAAACAAUGAGAACAAACAAAC
rnacentral:lncRNA from 1 species